rnacentral:rRNA from 1 species
AGACCCGAAACCCGGUGAUCUAGCCAUGGGCAGGUUGAAGGUUGGGUAACACUAACUGGAGGACCGAACCGACUAAUGUUGAAAAAUUAGCGGAUGACCUGUGGCUGGGGGUGAAAGGCCAAUCAAACCGGGAGAUAGCUGGUUCUCCCCGAAAGCUAUUUAGGUAGCGCCUCGUGAAUUCAUCUCCGGGGGUAGAGCACUGUUUCGGCUAGGGGGCCAUCCCGGCUUACCAACCCGAUGCAAACUGCGAAUACCGGAGAAUGUUAUCACGGGAGACACACGGCGGGUGCUAACGUCCGUCGUGAAGAGGGAAACAACCCAGACCGCCAGCUAAGGUCCCAAAGUCAUGGUUAAGUGGGAAACGAUGUGGGAAGGCCCAGACAGCCAGGAUGUUGGCUUAGAAGCAGCCAUCAUUUAAAGAAAGCGUAAUAGCUCACUGGUCGAGUCGGCCUGCGCGGAAGAUGUAACGGGGCUAAACCAUGCACCGAAGCUGCGGCAGCGAACGUAUCACUUAAAGCGAUUCAGCGGGUUACGAUUGACGGAGCGAAGCGACGUCAAAGCGUAUACAAAGUCGAGUCGGUUUAAGGAUACGUUCGUUGGGUAGGGGAGCGUUCUGUAAGCCUGUGAAGGUGGCCUGUGAGGGUUGCUGGAGGUAUCAGAAGUGCGAAUGCUGACAUAAGUAACGAUAAAGCGGGUGAAAAGCCCGCUCGCCGGAAGACCAAGGGUUCCUGUCCAACGUUAAUCGGGGCAGGGUGAGUCGACCCCUAAGGCGAGGCCGAAAGGCGUAGUCGAUGGGAAACGGGUUAAUAUUCCCGUACUUGGUGUUACUGCGAAGGGGGGACGGAGAAGGCUAUGUUGGCCGGGCG